AACAAUAAUUAUUUAAAUAAAAAUACCCGAAAUAAAAAGAUCAAAAAAGUUAUAUUGUAUAGUAAUUAUAAUUAAACAUGUAGCAUAAUGUAAUUUAAAUAACUUUUUAGGGGAGAAAUUCCAACAGUUUUUAUGAUAGCUGGAUUAAGGGGAAAAGUAUUGAGUACUUAAAACAAUUAUAGAGUGAUAAGAUUUUAUAAUUUAAAUAAGGUUUUUUUAAUAGUUUCAGGGCUAAUCCCCUAAAAGCUUAAUUUGCUAAUAACAUUUUUUGAAUAUAUCUUUUUAUUACUAACCUUAAACUUUGAACAAUUAGUGUGGCUUAGUUUAUAAUGUUUAAAUUAGUAUUAAUACUUGCAAAUUUUAUUAAGGAACUCGGCAAAACGUUUAUAUUCGACUGUUUAACAAAAACAUAGUCCGUUGUUAUUUAUAAUGGAUACUGACUGCCCGGUGAUUUUUAUUUAACGGCCGCAGUACCUUGACUGUGCGAAGGUAGCAUAAUAAUUUGGCCUUUAAAUGGGGUCUAGGAUGAAAGGACUUACGGAUAGCAGCUGUCUCAAGCUUAACUAAUGAAAACUUACUUAAAAGGUGCAAAUACCUUUAUGUAUAUAUAAUAGACGAGAAGACCCUUAGAAUUUGACUUUAAAAUAAAAUAGCAUAUUUUUAUUUCGAUUUUGUUGGGGCAACAAAGCAGCAGCUGUUUAAUCUGCUUGUCAGUUAUAAGAAUAAGCCGACUACUAGUAUGAGCAUAUAAAUUACCUUAGGGAUAACAGCAUAAUUUAAUAAAGAUUGUGACCUCGAUGUUGGAUUAGGGCCAUAAUAAUUUAACCAAUUACUAUGUUAGUUCUGUUCGAACUUUAUAACCUACAUGAUCUGAGUUCA
rnacentral:rRNA from 1 species